GAUGAACGCUGGCGGCGUGCCUAAUACAUGCAAGUCGAGCGAACAGAUAAGGAGCUUGCUCCUUUGACGUUAGCGGCGGACGGGUGAGUAACACGUGGGUAACCUACCUAUAAGACUGGAAUAACUCCGGAAACCGGGGCUAAUGCCGGAUAACAUUUAGAACCGCAUGGUUCUAAAGUGAAAGAUGGUUUUGCUAUCACUUAUAGAUGGACCCGCGCCGUAUUAGCUAGUUGGUAAGGUAACGGCUUACCAAGGCAACGAUACGUAGCCGACCUGAGAGGGUGAUCGGCCACACUGGAACUGAGACACGGUCCAGACUCCUACGGGAGGCAGCAGUAGGGAAUCUUCCGCAAUGGGCGAAAGCCUGACGGAGCAACGCCGCGUGAGUGAUGAAGGUCUUCGGAUCGUAAAACUCUGUUAUUAGGGAAGAACAAAUGUGUAAGUAACUGUGCACGUCUUGACGGUACCUAAUCAGAAAGCCACGGCUAACUACGUG
rnacentral:rRNA from 1 species